GAUUUAUUGGUAAGAGAUUAGCCUGUAUUGUAUCAGUUAGUUGGUGGGGUAAUAGGCUUACCAAGACUAUGACACAUAACUGGUUUGAGAGGAUGAUCAGUCACACUGGAACUGAGACACGGUCCAGACUCCUACGGGAGGCAGCAGUGGGGAAUAUUGCACAAUGGACGAAAGUCUGAUGCAGCAACGCCGCGUGGAGGAUGACACAUUUCGGUGCGUAAACUCCUUUUAUAUGAGAAGAUAAUGACGGUAUUAUAUGAAUAAGCACCGGCUAACUCCGUGCCAGCAGCCGCGGUAAUACGGGGGGUGCAAGCGUUACUCGGAAUCACUGGGCGUAAAGAGCAUGUAGGCGGAUUAAUAAGUUUGAAGUGAAAUCCUAUAGCUUAACUAUAGAACUGCUUUGAAAACUGUUAAUCUAGAAUGUGGGAGAGGUAGAUGGAAUUUCUGGUGUAGGGGUAAAAUCCGUAGAGAUCAGAAGGAAUACCGAUUGCGAAGGCGAUCUACUGGAACAUUAUUGACGCUGAGAUGCGAAAGCGUGGGGAGCAAACAGGAUUAGAUACCCUGGUAGUCCACGCCCUAAACGAUGUACACUAGUUGUUGUGAGACUUGAUCUUGCAGUAAUGCAGUUAACACAUUAAGUGUACCGCCUGGGGAGUACGGUCGCAAGAUUAAAACUCAAAGGAAUAGACGGGGACCCGCACAAGAGGUGGAGCAUGUGGUUUAAUUCGACGAUACACGAAGAACCUUACCUGGACUUGACAUAGUAAGAACUUUCUAGAGAUAGAUUGGUGUCUGCUUGCAGAAACUUAUAUACAGGUGCUGCACGGCUGUCGUCAGCUCGUGUCGUGAGAUGUUGGGUUAAGUCCCGCAACGAGCGCAACCCUCGUGUUUAGUUGCUAACAGUUCGGCUGAGAACUCUAAACAGACUGCCUACGCAAGUAGGAGGAAGGUGAGGACGACGUCAAGUCAUCAUGGCCCUUACGUCCAGGGCUACACACGUGCUACAAUGGGAUAUACAAAGAGCGGCAAUACGGUGACGUGGAGCAAAUCUUAUAAAAUUCUCCCAGUUCGGAUUGUAGUCUGCAACU
rnacentral:rRNA from 1 species